AAGGGAACAGUAUAGGUUGAGCGUGA
rnacentral:piRNA from 1 species